CUCCACUCAAUAAGUACCUGCACAUAAAAUUUUGAUACCAUGUGGUGCAUUCAACUGCAAACACAAAACAGCACUGAGGCACCACAAAUUCAAAGAGAGCGAAGAAGGGUUUACAACUUUCGAUGUACGGAGCAGGAGCUAAAGAAGAUCUUCAACUAUGUAGUGGUUGUCUUUGCACUUGUAGCGCUGAGGCACUGCAAAUUCAAAGGAAGAGAAGAAGGGUUUAUAACUUUCUAUGUACGUAGCAGAUGUUUUUGCAUUAAAAUAUUAAUUGAUGCCAUGCAUGCAUAAAAAAGUGUGUGUUGAUUUUUGUUUGGAGAUAAUCUUGUUGAUCAGAGCCUGUUUGUUGAUCAGUUAACACUACACAAGUUAAGACCGAUGUCUCAUGUCA